GGAUAGACAGCAGGCAGCUGGGACAGGUGGCAGGCAGCUGGGACAGGUGGCAGGCAGCCAGGACUGGCAACACUUGCUGAAGAACAGUGAAACUUCAUAAAGAAGUCAACAGACCUUCCAAGUUACCAGGGGAACAUGCCAAGAAACCAUCAGUCCAAGGCUCGGGAUGAAGACAGGCUGGCCUCUGAGGUCUAGGAAAGUUGUGUUCAAAGUAAGUAAAAGGAAGAACCAACUGUCCUAAAAGCAUCCCUCCAGAGAGAACUCAAAAACAGCUUCAUGAUUUUGUUUAUCUAAGCAAGAUUGCCUGCAUCAAAUGCCCCUUAGUGAGGACAAAGGAACUAGGUCAUCUACUGGGUGUGCGCUUUCAUGCUGCUGGGUCCCGGGGGUAGCUUAUCGAAGGGAUUUUUCACUUCUUUGAAAAAGAAAACAAAAAUCACCAUGAGCU
rnacentral:lncRNA from 1 species